AUUGAACGCUGGCGGCAUGCUUUACACAUGCAAGUCGAACGGUAACAGGCCGCAAGGUGCUGACGAGUGGCGAACGGGUGAGUAAUGCAUCGGAACGUGCCCAGUCGUGGGGGAUAACGCAGCGAAAGCUGCGCUAAUACCGCAUACGAUCUAUGGAUGAAAGCGGGGGACCGUAAGGCCUCGCGCGAUUGGAGCGGCCGAUGUCAGAUUAGGUAGUUGGUGGGGUAAAGGCUCACCAAGCCAACGAUCUGUAGCUGGUCUGAGAGGACGACCAGCCACACUGGGACUGAGACACGGCCCAGACUCCUACGGGAGGCAGCAGUGAGGAAUUUUGGACAAUGGGCGCAAGCCUGAUCCAGCAAUGCCGCGUGCAGGAUGAAGGCCUUCGGGUUGUAAACUGCUUUUGUACGGAACGAAAAGCCCUGGGUUAAUACCCUGGGGUCAUGACGGUACCGUAAGAAUAAGCACCGGCUAACUACGUGCCAGCCGCCGCUGUAACAC
rnacentral:rRNA from 1 species